AUUUUUCUAAUAUAAUUAGUAUAGUUAGCUUCCAAUUAACUAGUCUGGGUGGAACCUCAGGAAAAAUA
rnacentral:tRNA from 1 species